rnacentral:rRNA from 1 species
UUUAUGACCAGGGCUACACACGUACUACAAUGGCCGGUACAAAGGGCAGCGACACAGCGAUGUGAAGCCAAUCCCGAAAGCCGGUCUCAGUCCGGAUUGGAGUCUGCAACUCGACUCCAUGAAGUUGGAAUCGCUAGUAAUCGUGGAUCAGCACGCCACGGUGAAUACGUUCCCGGGCCUU